rnacentral:rRNA from 1 species
GGCCUACCAUGGUGGUAACGGGUAACGGGGUGUUAGGGCACGACACCGGAGAGGGAGCCUGAGAAACGGCUACCACAUCCAAGGAUGGCAGCAGGCGCGCAAAUUACCCAAUCCCGACACGGGGAGGUAGUGACAAUAAAUAACAAUACGGGGUCCUUUCGGGUUUCGUAAUUGGAAUGAGUACAAUUUAAAUCUCUUAACGAGGAACAAUUGGAGGGCAAGUCUGGUGCCAGCAGCCGCGGUAAUUCCAGCUCCAAUAGCGUAUAUUAAAGUUGUUGCAGUUAAAAAGCUCGUAGUUGAAUUUCGGGAUUAGUACGUCGGUCGUGCCUUAGGUACGUACUGGUGUUACUGGUUCCUACCUUCUGACGAACCAUCAUGUCAUUAAUUUGGUGUGGUGGGGGGUCAGGACUGUUACUUUGAAAAAAUUAGAGUGUUUAAAGCAGGCUCGCGCUUGAAUACAUUAGCAUGGAAUAAUGAAAUAGGACGUUGAUCCUAUCUUGUUGGUUUCUAGGAUUGACGUAAUGAUUAAUAGGGAUAGUUGGGGGCAUUAGUAUUCAAUUGUCAGAGGUGAAAUUCUUGGAUUUAUUGAAGACUAACUACUGCGAAAGCAUUUGCCAAGGAUGUUUUCAUUAAUCAAGAACGAAAGUUAGGGGAUCGAAGACGAUCAGAUACCGUCGUAGUCUUAACCAUAAACUAUGCCGACUAGGGAUCGGAUGAUGUUAAUUUUUUAAUGACUCAUUCGGCGCCUUACG